UGUCCACACUGGGGAGAGACCAUACAGAUGUGAUGAGUGUAAGAAGACUUUUACAACUUUGUAUUCCCUGAAACAACACCAGCAGAUCCGCACCAGAAGAAAGCAUUCAAUCAGUGUCACAGUGAGAAUGGAACAGAUGGACAAAACUCUCAGACUUGUCAGCACUCUGCCAAUGGUGAACAGUGCUGCUUUGACCAGUCUGGACCAACGUCCAACCAACAAGGAACCCUACAACGACACCAGCGUAUGCACACUGGACACAGACUGAACCCCUGCCAAGAAGAUUUGUCCAUGCAGGGUUCAGUAAAAGUUCAUGAAGUCCUCCACAAACUUAAAGUCCUUGAGAUCCGGCUUCACAGAAUUCAGGUCUAAUUUCUUGUUUAGUGUCUUCGUUGCUUCGUUGCAAAAUCCAUUAAGAGGAAAGCUGUCGUUAACAGAUGUGACUGGUAAAUUAAUCAAACCGUUCAAAGUGGUUACUCAGUUAAAUGAAUUAUCAGUGGCAGAGGGAUAGACGUCUGGAUGGAGGCAGUGAGCAGCAGGGCGAAUUUCCUCAAUUACCACCUUAAUGGUUCCUCAGAUCCCUCUGGGCUGCAGGAACCCGUUAGAUGCAGAGCUGGUUCAGUGAUUCUCUGAUGAUUAAGCAUAAUUAAUUGAGGAGAUUACUGGCCUUAGGGUUCCUGUCUGUCAGUCUGUAAAUAUAAAACACGAAGUGUUCUAUGAAAAGUCCAAUCUUUGAAAGCUGACAUGUAGUUCAGAAUCAUUUCUUUGUAAAUUAGCUGCAUCCAGUCAUUACCAUGACAUUGGCAGUGAUUCUCUGAUGAUUAAUCAUAAUUAAUUCAGGAGAUUACUGGCCUGAGGAUAUCUAUCUAUCUAUCUAUCUAUCUAUCUAUCUAUCUAUCUAUCUAUCUAUCUAUCUAUCUAUCUAUCUAUCUAUCUAUCUAUCUAUCUAUCUAUCUAUCUAUCUAUCUAUCUAUCUAUCUAUCUAUCUAUCUAUCUAUCUAAACUUUCUCAGCUACAGCAUCUGCACCUCUGCUUCUGUGUGAAGUAGUCAUUACAGGAGAGAAAGUGGAGAAAAUCUGACAAAUUUUGUCAAGUGGUCCAGAAAAAUCUGACUACCCCUACAACUUCUCUCCUGUAAUGAUAGUAAUAAGUAAUACAUAGUUGAUACUUCACACAGCAGUAGCAGAGGUGCAGAUGUUGUAGCUGAGAAAGUUUGGAGGUUGCCACUUCUUGCAUUCCAAGAAUAGUAGGGGAGUCAGAUUUUGUCAAGUGGCCCAGAAAAAUCUGACUCCAGAUUUUAUUUCAUAUCAUACAAUCUGCACUUUUAACUCAACCUGCAUAUUUCUGUUAAAGUCCUAGUUUUGAAAUGGUCUCUCUGUUCUUAAUCUGCCAUACUGUGAUCAUUUAGCCCCUUAUUUUAUUAUUCUGUUCUUACAGACUGUAAUUUACGAGUUUUUUUUUAAAACUUGUUGUGAUUUGGUGUUUUAGCUGUUGUAGCAAAUAAUUUCCCAGGUGUGUGAUAAAUAAAGAAUUUCAAUUCUAUUAUAUUGUUAACUGGCCCUAUAAAAAUAACAACAAUAAGAAAUUACUACGAUACUAAAACUAGAACUAUACUUAUAUUAAAGACUUUAUACAUAAAUACCAGACAUAUUUUGAUGCCAUAUCUUGCAUUCUUAGGGGAGUCUGAUUUUAAGUAAGGAGAUAUAAAGUUUUCUCAGUGAACAAUUAUUUUAAUGACACGUGUAGAACACUGAUGGAAUGUGAACAAUAUUUGGCGACUACACCCUGUCCUGUCCUGAUGUCCUCAUAGGAGUGAAGCUGAGAGUAGCGUAGGAUCUCCCCAAUGCCAUUUAGGGUGCGCACAUACGGAUGAGAAGAGGAGGAGAAACAUGUCACCUAAUCAUAUUUAACAGGAAAACAUGUCUGCAGUUCGGUACUUAGUCACAUUUAACCCAAAAACAACAGCAAAAGCAGUAAACGUACAACAGAAAAACCCGUCAAGUGGCCACAGAGUGAAAAGUAAGUCACACGCGUUCACGCGAAGGGGGAGUCAGAUUUUUCCGGGGAGUGUGAAAAUUGCACAACACCUGGGUUAGUCUGUAUCCUUUUUUCUGAUUGGCUGAGACGAGACACGUGACAGUGUGCAUCUAUUAAUGAUCGGAAGCAUUCAGGUCGUUCCGGUUAUACUCGGUAGCGCUCUUCAGUAAAGGAGACGCAGUUUGUUAUUUUCUUUGAUUAUCGCUCGGCAAAUUACAAAAAAGUUGCAAGUUAACCCUUUUUCCACAUUUAUUAGGCAAAAUUAGCUUCGCCACCGUGGCUAAACAUGCUAAAAAUGGCUUUGCCAUCCUGAGGAAGGCUUUGCCUAUGGCGAAGUGGAGAAUGGCUAGCACAAGCACAGAGACACCCUGAAAAUUUGACACAAUCUUAAAUAUUAUGAAAUAUUUGUUGAAAAGUCUUUUUCGUGUGUUUCUAAGGGUGUGGCUGCAUCAGAAAGACACAAAUACAAAUGAUAUUUUUUUGGUUUGUUGUUUACAAGAAAUAUUUUAUGGAACCAGUCAAUUUUCAGUUUUAAUGUCUUUUAUUAGGAUGUGUUUAGUUUUAUGAUUGUACUAAAAUAAAUGACUCUUGAAGACCUCAAA